GUGACAGAGUGAGGGAGGGGGUGACUAGUGACAGAGUGAAUGAGGUGGUGACUGUCACUAGUCACCCCCUCCCUCUCUCUGUCAC